GAUGAACGCUGGCGGCGUGCCUAAUACAUGCAAGUCGAGCGAACAAACGAAGCUCUUUCCCCUCUGACGUUAGCGGCGGGCGGGUGAGUAACACGUGGAUAACUUACCUAUAAGACUGCGAUCACUUCGGGGGACCGAAGCUAAUACCGGAUCUUAUAUUGAACCGCAUGGUUCCAUAGUGAAAGACGGUUUUGCUGUCCCUUAUAGAUGUAUCCGAGCCGCAUUAGUUAGUUGGUAAGGUAACGGCUUACCAAGGCCACGGUGCGUAGCCGACCUGAGAGGGACAUUCGCCACACGAGCACUGAGGCACGGGCCCGACUCCUACGGGAGGCCGCAGGAGGGAAUCUUCCGCAAGGGGGGAAAGGUUGAUGGAGCACAGUCGGCGGAGGGAUGAAGGUGCGCCGCUCGGUAAACUAUGUUAUGAUGGAAGAAAAAAUGUGUAAUUAACUAUGCACGGCUUGACGGUACCUAACAAAAAAGCCACGGCUAACUACGUG
rnacentral:rRNA from 1 species